UCAGAUAAGUGAUUGCGGCUGCCAUUAUGGCAGGUGAGGAAAGUCCGGGCUCCAUAGGGCAGGAUGCCGGAUAACGUCCGGUGGAGGCGACUCCCAGGCUAGUGCAACAGAAAUAUACCGCCACCUUCGGGUGGUAAGGGUGGAAAGGCGAGGUAAGAGCUCACCGCUGCGUUGGUAACAAGGCAGGCUCUGUAAACCCCAUCCGGAGCAAGACCAAACAGAAAACUAUACAGCUGCCCGUUGUGUUUUCAGGUAGGUUGCUUGAACCUUAUGGUAACAUAAGGUCUAGAUAGAUAAUCACUCUCGACAUAACCCGGCUUAUCGUCUGACUU
rnacentral:RNase_P_RNA from 1 species